rnacentral:rRNA from 1 species
AUUGAACGCUGGCGGCAGGCCUAACACAUGCAAGUCGAACGAGCGGCGGACGGGUGAGUAAUGCUUGGGAAUCUACCUGAUGGAGGGGGAUAACUACGGGAAACGGUAGCUAAUACCGCAUACCAUCGGAUGAGCCCAAGUGGGAUUAGCUAGUUGGUGAGGUAAAGGCUCACCAAGCCGACGAUCUCUAGCUGGUCUGAGAGGAUGACCAGCCACACUGGGACUACGACACGGCCCAGACGCCUACGGGAGGCAGCAGUAGGGAAGCGUGGGCAAUGGACGAAAGUCUGACCGAGCAACGCCGCGUGAGUGAAGAAGGUUUUAGGAUCGUAAAACGCUGUUGGUAGAGAAGCGGUAUCUAAACAGAAAGCCACGGCUAACUACGUGCCAGCAGCCGCGGUAAUAC